UUUUAAAAAAAAUUAAAUUUAAAAAUUUUAAUUUUAAUAAUUUAUAAUUUCAAAUUAAAGUUUAUAAUUUAAAAUUCUAAAAUCUAAAUUUUAAAUUUUAAUUUGUUAUUUUAUAUUUUUCAAAUUUUAUAUUUUUAAAUUUAAAUUUAUUCUUAAAUUUAAAAUUUAACAUUUAACAUUUGAGAGUUUAAUUUUAAAUUUUAAUUUCAUAUUUUAAAAUUUAAAAAUAAAAAUUAAAAAUUUAAAUUCAAAUUUAAUGAGAGGGAUAAUAUCAUUUUUCUAUUUAUAACUACUCACUAAAAAUUUAAAUUCAAAUUUAAUGAGAGGGAUAAUGUCAUUUUUCUAUUUAUAACUACUCACUAUUUUUUUUAUUCCUCUUAUAUAUAUAAACGCUAUUUUUCUUACUCCUGGAACAAUCAAAUUUUUAUUCAAACGCAAAAUUGGUCUUGUUCUUAUUCUUGUUUAUACCUGAAUUUAUAUCUAUCCCUAAAGUAAGCAGUUAUUAUUUAUAUCCGAACCAAACGAAGCCUGAGGUUUUGGACAAAUUGUAACAAAUAUUGAACUAAACUUGUAAUAGUUCUUUUGAGAUUUAUAGUUGUAACGGAAUAGUAUUUUUAUAUGGCAAUACUUUAAUUCGUUUGAAUUUUUUUGUUUAUUUAUAUGAAUUGAUAGAUGUUGGUUGUCGCUUCGUAUGUUUGAAGGAGCCUUAUGCAUAUGGCGGGUCUUGACACGCUAUCAGAGGUGCUUCCGCUUGAACCUGCAAAGUGACAUUUCUAUCAUUUAAAACUUUGUAACUUGCACUUACACUUCACUAAACGGACAAUAUGCUCUUAAUAUAUGUUCAUUAAAAAUGUUAAGAAAAUAUAAAAGAUAGAUAGGUUUUUUUUUUAAGAAAGAAAAUAAUUAUGAAAUAUUAAAAAAAAAGGAAAAAAAAAUGCGUCGGCUAGGCCAUAUUUGUGCCCUAAGUAGACCUUAUCUACGUACCACGGGCAUUUCUAUAAGCCUCGCAUCUCGGUGUCGGAUACGUGUCCGAUGCAGACACUCCUCGGACGCCCGUUUAAUGCCAACACAUAGCGCAUACAAGUAAAAAAAACAUAUACAUAUUUUUAUUUUACUUUUUCUAUACAUAUAUAAUGUACGAUGAUAAAUAUUUAGCUUUCUGAUGAAUGCAAAUAAUUUUUUUUGACAAUAUAAAUAAAUUAUGUAUGGUGGAGAAUUUUUUUAAAACAAAAUAUAUGAACUAUCAAUGAAAAAAAUUACUAACAUUCAUUCGUAUGACAAAUAUAACAAUAUUUUAUCAAAAUUAAUAUUUUAUAUACAAUAAAAAUAUAUUAUUAUAUUAAUAAUAUUAUAUUUUAUUCGUGGUGUUCAUAUCGUGGCAGUGUUUUAAUUUUUUGAAAGUUGCCAAGUUGCGGUAUCCGAGUCGUGUCGUGUUUCGUGUAUUUUGUCAGUGUCCGUGAUGCCUAGAAACUUAUAAGGGGCUGUUCGGUUCGUAGGUAAAGUAUGAAUACAAUUAUUUU
rnacentral:lncRNA from 1 species